rnacentral:sRNA from 1 species
CUAGGUAUAUUAUAUUAGCUUUGGGGACUGAUGGGCCCGGGACGGUCGACCUGCUGACCAGUUAACUGGCCAAUGUCCUGACUAUUAUAUAUAACCUUAUUUAAACGUCACAUAGUUACUACAAUUCAGCGGUCUAGUUGGUGAGCCGAGGCAUUUGUGAAUUGCGUCGUAUCCGCCUUGAAACGGGAUUUGAAUUGGGCACCUGAGCAGAGCUGGCUGGAAUAUGGACAGCGGAGCACUAUGGGUAACUAAAUAUCUUAUGGUAGGGUAUCUUACGGU